CUUACCCAUGAAUCAUUUCCCAACAAUUUAAACCAAAUAAAAUUAGCACAACCUUAAACACCCCAACCUCCUCAGCUCUCUGUUUCUACGCACCAACAACGCGGCUCCGCCGCCUCUGCAACCUUCUUCCACCACACCAUCAUACACCUUACCACAAACCAAUGUCAACCAAUACCCACAAAUAACAAGUAUAUGUUAUAGCAUUCGUCACCGAAACAGAAAUUCGAAUUCACAUACUCCCUCUUUCUCUCUCCUCUACGGUGCGAGCCACCAAACCACCACGGCCUGCUGCCCCUAUACACCCGACACUAUGUAUCUCCAGCCACCUGAGCUCAGCCCGGCGCCACCUUGUACCACCGCCACCUGGCCCACCUCUCUCGAAGCCUCACUUCCCUCCUUGUUGUGCUCCAUGUGACCGUGUCCUCUGUUAUGUUAGACCAAAGUUUUGUCUUUUAAAACUUGGUUUCUUAAGUGGAGUAAUAUUGCACUAUUGCAGUACGCAUAUUUCCAAAAGUCAACCUUUGCCCCUUUUAACACCAAACUAUUAUUGAUAUAAAUAAUUUUUGGAGCUCGGAAGAAUGGUCCAUCGAACGGGACGUAUAAACUACGGUUGAGGUACACGAUCAUGGGAUGCCUUAGAGUGAGGAUGCAACCAUCAAAUUCACGAUCUUUGUUUAGUAAAGACAACUAUGUCAUUAGUAAUAAAGGGAUGUAUUAAUUAAACUCUAAGUUUGAUUUCAUGAUUUGAGUUAGAUUUUAAUAUUAAUGUUUAAUCAA